rnacentral:rRNA from 1 species
GACGUAGGGCGCGAGCGUUGUCCGGAUUUAUUGGGCGUAAAGAGCUCGUAGGUGGUUUGUCGCGUUGUCCGUGAAAACUCACAGCUCAACUGUGGGCGUGCGGGCGAUACGGGCAGACUGGAGUACUGCAGGGGAGACUGGAAUUCCUGGUGUAGCGGUGGAAUGCGCAGAUAUCAGGAGGAACACCGGUGGCGAAGGCGGGUCUCUGGGCAGUAACUGACGCUGAGGAGCGAAAGCGUGGGGAGCGAACAGG